UACGUAGGGUGCAAGCGUUAAUCGGAAUUACUGGGCGUAAAGCGUGCGCAGGCGGCUUUGCAAGACAGAUGGGAAAUCCCCGGGCUCAACCUGGGAACUGCAUUUGUGACUGCAAGGCUAGAGUACGGUAGAGGGGGAUGGAAUUCCGCGUGUAGCAGUGAAAUGCGUAGAUAUGCGGAGGAACACCGAUGGCGAAGGCAAUCCCCUGGACCUGUACUGACGCUCAUGCACGAAAGCGUGGGGAGCAAACAGG
rnacentral:rRNA from 1 species